rnacentral:rRNA from 1 species
CUUGCUCUUCGAUUCAGCGGCGGACGGGUGAGUAAUGCCUAGGAAUCUGCCUGGUAGUGGGGGACAACGUUUCGAAAGGAACGCUAAUACCGCAUACGUCCUACGGGAGAAAGCAGGGGACCUUCGGGCCUUGCGCUAUCAGAUGAGCCUAGGUCGGAUUAGCUAGUUGGUGAGGUAAUGGCUCACCAAGGCGACGAUCCGUAACUGGUCUGAGAGGAUGAUCAGUCACACUGGAACUGAGACACGGUCCAGACUCCUACGGGAGGCAGCAGUGGGGAAUAUUGGACAAUGGGCGAAAGCCUGAUCCAGCCAUGCCGCGUGUGUGAAGAAGGUCUUCGGAUUGUAAAGCACUUUAAGUUGGGAGGAAGGGCAGUAAGCGAAUACCUUGCUGUUUUGACGUUACCGACAGAAUAAGCACCGGCUAACUCUGUGCCAGCAGCCGCGGUAAUACAGAGGGUGCAAGCGUUAAUCGGAAUUACUGGGCGUAAAGCGCGCGUAGGUGGUUUGUUAAGUUGGAUGUGAAAGCCCCGGGCUCAACCUGGGAACUGCAUCCAAAACUGGCAAGCUAGAGUACAGUAGAGGGUGGUGGAAUUUCCUGUGUAGCGGUGAAAUGCGUAGAUAUAGGAAGGAACACCAGUGGCGAAGGCGACCACCUGGACUGAUACUGACACUGAGGUGCGAAAGCGUGGGGAGCAACAGGAUUANAUACCUGGUAGUC